CAUUUCUUUUGGAUAAUAAAGAGAUUAGAGCCAAGAAGAAAAGAAGAACUCAUAACUCAAGUCCCAUUUUCGUAUUCCAUGGACAGCCUUCACUAAAAGUGCCAUAACUCUCUGCUCACAACUCUGAUUCAGAAAAACGAGUUUGAAGUUGGAAGCUCCAUGCUGUAUGUGUGUCAAAGUGUGAUUACGGGUUUGAUGAGGAUGGAGUGGAACUUUGACUAUGGUGGGAGUUCAAUGGCAGCAAACAGCAUGAUCUUAACCUCCAUUAAAUCCAAGGUGCAGUUUAGUAGUGUUUGGUCAGUAGCAGGUUUGGACUGAAGACUUGGAAGUGGUGAUGGCUCAGAGACCUCGUCAGAUCUCAUUUUCCGCUGUGCAAGAUCCAUUGAAGACACAUGUUUUGUAAUUAUUAUUAUUAUUUCAUGUUGUAUUCUAAAUGGAUCAUCUUGUAUCCUUAGCUUUUGUAUGUACUCAAUAUCAAUUUUAACGUUUCAUGCAUAAUAUACUAGUCAGUUAUGUAUGGGGUGUUACAUAAAAUAUUUAGGAAACAAAUAAUAUUAAUUAUAAUAUAUUUUGUUGAAUACUUGUAAUUAUAUCCUUUACU